UUUACUUUUGGAAUCGUUGCAGCAAAUGUCGGUGACCGUCUACGCUACGUGUCACGAUCCUGUUGUCACAAGUCUCUGUAACUCCCGAAGGCCAAAGAUAGGGUUCCCCUUUUUUUCCUUUUUCGUUCCCACACUCACACCAAACAUGGGAUUGUCAGACUAUAUACGCAUUUUUAUAUGAACAUACAUUUACAUAUGUAGUACAGUAGUAGUAUUUUUUUUUGUAUAUAUAGGAGUGUUUGUACAUGAAUGACUUUAGCCGAGGAAAGCAAUGUGAUUGUUUUGGCGGCGCUCUCUAAUUCGCUUGGUGCAGGUCGGGAAUUGCUUCGCCAGGAGGCCCAGCACAUAUAAUAUAUAUAUAUAUACAUACAUACAUACAAACGCAAAUAUGUGCAUAUAUAUAUAUAUAUAUAUUUAUGCAUGUUUGUGUUUUAUUUAAAUUGUUCUAUGGCGAAUUGGAUCCCGCCUUGCAUCAAGUGAAUCGGAGACAGCCGCCAGUGUUAGGGUUGUGAUCGGACCUUUUCGAAGAUAGCUGCUUUAGGAUUACUUCCUUUGGAGGCUUUACUUUGUUUUUGUGAUAUUCUCUUCUCAUUUUUUAUAUGAAUCUGAAAUUCUAUAGAGUUCUUUAUUAAUGUUCUUUAAUUUUAUUUAAAAUAAUAAUUAUAACUCGUCCUUUUUAUUCUCAAAUUGAUGUGUUUCUGUUUGAUUAUAGGUUGGCAUCUAGAUCUAGUUGUUCUAUUUAUAUUAUUUUCGAAUUUUGUUUUAAUGUUUAAUUUGUUUGAGAAAAUGAAGUUCCUUGUUGAUUUUAGUUUCUUUUAAAUGAUUACUGGAAUUGGGUGAUUUAGGAUAGUUGUUGAAAAUAUCGAAAAAGAAAUAAAAGUAAAAAAGAAUAUAUAGUAAAUUGGGACUUUUUGUUUAGCUAUAUAUUCAUAUGUUAAUUUACCCAAAUUAAGUUCAUAUGUGUGCCUAUGUUCAUGUAUUAUGGUUUUCUGUUUCAAAUUGCCUUUUCUUUUAUUUGAAUUGCCAUUUUGUUCCUGUUUUGGUUGAUUUGGAUUAAAUGUGUCUAUAUUUGACUAUUUUGUUAGCUAUGUGUUGCCUUUCUGUUGAUGUGUUUGGUUUUUUGUUUGUUCGUCAAUUUAACGGGAAGUAGAUUCUUUUUAUCAGCACUUUAGAUUCUCUGCAGAGAUGAAUGAUGAAGCAUAAAAGCUGGACUUUGUCGUUGAAGAUUCAAUAAAUGAUUGAGGUUUGGAAGGCUGGAGCUGCUUGACACGAGGCCGUAGUGAGUUUCUUGGAAUGGAUCCAACAUAUGAUCUAGGACACUGGCAAUGGCUAAGCUUUGUUCUAUGCUGGUUUAAGCUAGCACCCGUUUGACAUUGUUUCUUGUUGGGAGUCAUUUUUUUUUUUCCUAGUUGGUAUUCACACACACUUGUCUCUUCUGAGACUUGAACUCUUGACCUCCCUUUGGGAACUAAGAGGCUGAUACCGCUAGGUCACUGACCCGUUUGACAUUGUUUCUUGUUGGGAGUCAUUUUUUUUUUUCCUAGUUGGUAUUCACACACACUUGUCUCUUCUGAGACUUGAAUGCUUGAUCUCCCUUUGGGAACUAAGAGGCUGAUACCGCUAGGCCACUGACCCGUUUGACAUUGUUUCUUGUUGGGAUUCAUUUAUGUGGUUGAUUUAUCUGAAUUUUAUGGGAAAGUUGGGUUGCAUCAACUGAACUGGAUACCGCAGUGGGUAUUGCACUGGAGUAUCAUACUCUGGGGGAGUUGGGUGUCACUAGUAAAAUUAGAUGCACUUUUCAACUCAAAUCGUUCUGGCUUCAGAUUAUCAGCUCGAAAACCUAAACUACCAGAUCAAUCCCAAAAGCUUAGUUCUGCGUGGUUUGAAAAGUUCAGAUUAUUUGUUUUUCUUCUUUGCUAAUAAAAAUUUCAAGAUUGAGAUAUCUAUGUGAUGGUGUCCAAUGAGUAAACCUAGAAAGUCUUAUUAUCCAUUUUACUCAUUUGUUGGUGUGACUUGUUAUUUGGACUUCAAUAAAUGUCAUUUUAUGCGACUUUUCACUACAUUGUAAAUUUUUUAGUUCAUAACACUAUUUUUUUUUUACUAGCAUACGUUACAUUGAUUCUUUUUGUUUCCUUAGGGCUGAUUAAAAUGAAUUCUUAUGAUAAUUGAUUAGAUUAUCAAUCAAUGCUACACAAACAGAGAGUUUAGACCGACUGAAUAAAGGUACUAGUAGAUGACUAAUGGAUAUCUUUAUGAUACCAUGUUUUAAAUAUUAUUGGUUUCUUUCCUUUCGCAUUGAUUGAUCAGCUAAAUUUUCCAUUCACUUCACUGUUUCACUGGUGACUAAUUGUGGGAUUUGAAAUAAUUCGUUUUGAUUAAAACAAGCCAUGCUUGCUUCAUUUUUAAGUCUGGAUUUAUUUCUUUGAUAUUUACUUUGUUGUCAAAUUGAACUUUUUAUAAAUUUACGACUUUACACUUUAGAAAUAGUUGGAGUUGAUAAUACAUUAAUGCAGUUUGUUUGUUUGUUUCUUUUUUUAUUUUUCUCAAUCCUGUAUAAAGAAUAAAUAUUCUCCAUUUCAGAUUGAUAUUACAUGUGCCAAUGGUAUAUCAGGUUGUCCUUUAAUAUCUAGUGUGAAUAUCUUUGUGUGGACACCGUCACCGGUGACACUGAUAGCUCGGAGAGUGAUACAUGGUAGAAGACAUGUAUAAAGUGAUCAAGUGUCAUACAUUUCAUACAGUGAACUUCAUGAUGGAAACUAGAAAAAGAAUAGACAUAUUACCCGAAUUGGGGUGGAUUUUUGGCGUAGACAUUGAAGUUUGAUGCAGGUGGAAACAUCAAGAAAUGCUCAUGCUUGUCAGCCGAGUGGUCCGGUGUAACCGGCUGGAAGAAUGUCUUAAAACAGUUCCGUGGCUUGUAUCAUCAGACCAAGGGGCGGCACCCCAUGGUUCACAAAAUGGAAGAAACCAUACUCAGAGCAGGCUUUGCCAAUAAUGUCAAUGGCCGCCUUCUUGCCAUCAUCAUCACCAUCUCUGAAGAAAGGAGCUGUGGGAGCUGGGAAUACUUUUGAGUUACCCUCCGGUUUCAACUCAAUUUAGUAUUAUAGUCUUUUGAUCCAUCCUAGGUAUCACUGCACUACUUAUAAAGAAUUUUCAUUUGUAUUGUAAUUUGUUAUUGGGUCAUGUAUAUUGGUGGGUCUCCCACGUUGCCUUGUCCACAUGUAGAUGGCGCAUAAUCGAAAAACAAACGGUAGAUUCCAUGUGUUGUAUUUGUAUAGAUCGAGUUUUGUGACUAUGAUAAGAUUGUUCUGAUUACACCAAAAUAGCGUUAAUUACACAACUUUUUUUAUUUACGUUA